UUGCACGGAACGCGUUAGGAUUGAGACGAGGGAGUGAUUUAGCCCAGAGUUACGUGUACCUACGCGGCGGUCGUGGGUCGAUGCAGUUUGCAACUAUGUGCGUUCAACGAUACGGCAUGCACUUAUACGGAAGAGUUUCCUGACCAUGCGGGUGACUCGAGCGCAAAACGUCCUGCGAACCAAUCUUCUUCUCACGUUGGCAAAGUUCGUGGAGCACGAAAGAAAGAGAUGGAGAGUCGGAGAAAGUGAGAGAGCCAGCGGCAUCAGAGGGGAAGGACUGAUCUCGAACCCUCUCUUGUUGCACCUUCGCUCGCACCAGUUUUCCUGCAACCUUGUGAUUUAUAUACAUAUGUAUACUGCACUGUCGCUCCCUUUCUCUCUCUCUCUCUCUCUCUCUCUUCUCUCUUGUUGGCUAACUGCAAGCAAUGUAUAUACAUCCUACUGGAAUAGCUUGCGACGAUUCCGGUGGGAAGGAGACCCCGAAGAACGGAGGAGCUUCUGCUGUUGCAAGAAUUCCCGCUGGAGUUGCGAAUUGGAUACCUUUGCGUUACAAGAUACCACUGCUCACGUAUCUAUAUGCAUCAAACCAGUAUUUAUGUACUCAACAUAUAUUUAUUCAUAUUUAUAGCAUCCAUUGUACGGAUAUUGACUAGUAAUAAAGCAACGGUUUCAAUUUCGCUAA